rnacentral:rRNA from 1 species
UACGUAGGGGGCGAGCGUUGUCCGGAUUUAUUGGGCGUAAAGAGCGUGUAGGCGGCCAGGUAGGUCUGCUGUGAAAACUCGAGGCUCAACCUCGAGACGUCGGUUGAAACCGUUUGGCUAGAGUCCGGAAGAGGAGAGUGGAAUUCCCGGUGUAGCGGUGAAAUGCGCAGAUAUCAGGAGGAACACCCGUGGCUAAGGCGGUUCUCUAGUACGGUACUGACGCUGAGACGCGAAAGCGUGGGGAGCGAACAGG